rnacentral:ncRNA from 1 species
UUAUUAUCAACUCAUCCUCAACUUACACAUGCAAGUAUCAGCACACCCGUGAGAACGCCCUUCACCUUUUCAGGACAAGGAGCUGGUAUCAGGCACAGACUUCAACUCUAGCCCAUAACACCUAGCUUUGCCACACCCUCAAGGGUAUUCAGCAGUGAUUAACCUUGUUAAUAAGCGCCAGCUUGACUCAGUUAGAGGACUUAGGGCCGGCUAAUACGGUGCCAGCCGCCGCGGCUACACCGCUAGGCUCAAGUUGAUAAUACUCGGCGUUAAGCGUGUUUAAAGUACCAAAAGACUAGAACUAAACUUCAACCAAGUUGUGACACACUUGUUUUAAAGAAACCCGAAAACGAAAGUUGUUCUAACCUGACUACUUGAACCCACGACAGCUAGGGCACAAACUGGGAUUAGGUACCCCACUAUGCCUAGCCGUAAAAUAUUAACCUACACCACUUAACCGCCAGGGAAUUACGAGCCCAAGCUUAAAACCCAAAGGACUUGACGGUGUCCCACCCCCCUAGAGGAGCCUGUCUAUAAUCGAUUCUCCCCGAUACACCCGACCAUUUUUGGCCUAUCAGCCUGUAUACCUCCGUCGUAAGCUUACCAUAUGAACGACUUAGUGAGCUAAAAGAUUUUUCGUAAAUACGUCAGGUCAAGGUGCAGCCCACGAAAUGGCAAGCAAUGGGCUACAAUUUCUAUGCUAGAACACAACGAAAGGCUGUGUGCAACCCAGUCUUGAAGGCGGAUUUAGUAGUAAAAAGGAAGUAGAGAGUCCUUUUUAAUUAGGCGCUGGGACGCGUACACACCGCCCGUCACCCUCUUCAUAAGUAUUAAACAAGUUUUUAACAAGAUUUUUCUAUGCAGAAGAGGUAAGUCGUAACACGGUAAGUGUACUGGAAAGUGCACUUGGAUUAACAAA